rnacentral:rRNA from 1 species
AUUGAACGCUGGCGGCAUGCCUUACACAUGCAAGUCGAACGGCAGCGGACCUUCGGGUGCCGGCGAGUGGCGAACGGGUGAGUAAUAUAUCGGAACGUACCUUUCAGUGGGGGAUAACGUAGCGAAAGUUACGCUAAUACCGCAUAUUCUGUGAGCAGGAAAGCAGGGGAUCGCAAGACCUUGCGCUGAUUGAGCGGCCGAUAUCAGAUUAGCUAGUUGGUGAGGUAAAGGCUCACCAAGGCGACGAUCUGUAGCGGGUCUGAGAGGAUGAUCCGCCACACUGGAACUGAGACACGGUCCAGACUCCUACGGGAGGCAGCAGUGGGGGAUUUUGGACAAUGGGCGCAAGCCUGAUCCAGCCAUGCCGCGUGAGUGAAGAAGGCC